rnacentral:lncRNA from 1 species
AGUCUGGUUAACAUAACAAGAUUCAGUAUAGUACCAUAGAAGCUUUCACCUACACUACCAAGUGCAGAGAACUACAGAACAUAUUCCUUAAGAGAAUACUCAUAAUCAAAUAUAGAUAAUGAAACUUAUGAGAGAAGAAGAGAAGAAGAAAAGAAUAAGCAAAGGUAGUGUCGGUGACAUGACAAAGUUGAGGAUAAAAUCUUAAAAUGGCAACUGAUAAACCAGCAGUUAAAAUGUAAAACUUCGUUUGAAGUUAGAUCAUCAAUUCAUAUGUCAUUCCCAGAAAUCCUCCGGUGCAACAAAAAGCAAAAUGUGGUUGAGUGCAAUAACACGUUGGUCAAAACAGUCUGUUGGUUAUACGACAAUAGAGCCGCUCAGACCAUGAGCUUGUGAUAACCACAGCCUUGCGUCAACACACUUUAUUGACAGAUGAUAACAGCACAUGAAGAUGACAAGCAUUUUGGCAAUCAGACUUAGAACUAACGAACUAAAGAGACCAAGAAUCAAAACCGGCUUAUAAUGGGGGUGAUAGAAUUUGGGUCAACGGGCCGAGGGCCCCACUCCAACAACAUUGAUAUUGUCCCCAACUUGGUAAUUACCACCUGUCCAAUCCAUCAGGUGUAGGGUUUUAUCACAAAAGGUCUCGGUACUAGUUAGAGUGGGGGUAAUCAUAUUUAAACUCUUUUCUUUCUUCUUUCUCUCACCUAUGUGGGAUAGCCAACAGGGGCAUAAGAGAAAGUACACAGUAUAGCCCACUAGCAAUAUUCCUCUACUAGACUAAAAAAGAACUGAAAUACUCCUAGGCUGAUUUAAGUCCCUAAGUCUAUCUUUCCCAGGAAACUGUUAUUGGCACUCCAAAAAAGUCAUCUCGUACAAUUUCUGCCUUAUGUUUCCCAGGAGGCAGGCAUCCCUUCAAGUUCUUAUAUUUCAUUUAAAGGCCAAAAGGAACAAAAACAUAAUUCCUUUUCCUUACGCAAUUAAUAUGAUUUUCCUGAUUAGCAUGUUAAAGAUAAUACCUUUGUUAAGGUGUUUACACCAGCCUUUGAACAAUUGUAUGCUGUAGCUCCAGGCAAAUAUCCACGAUUAAGACCAGCAAUGGAAGAUAUAUUGACGAUUGACCCUCCCUGAUCAGCAUCUCGCAUGCGUAUAGCAACAAACUUUGAUACCAACCAGGAACCCGUUAAAUUUGUCCUGAAAACAUGAUUCCAUUCCUCCUCAGACAGGUCCAAUGCAGAACUCACAUUACCUAAGAAACACAGAUGGUAGUAAGCAUUUAUGAUACACCAACACAGACCUAUAGACCAACUAGUUGCGUGUGCCUGUGAGGUCAACAAUUGGUGAUUGGUACAAGACAGGAAUCAGGAUUGGGACUGAGUCUAGUCCAGUCCGAAUCCGAUAGUCCCACCCGCACCCCCUGUGGAGGUAAGAGGUAGAGAGCACAUGAUGAUGUUGUAUACAAUACUUGGGACAGUAGUCCAAUUCAAUAGUCGAGUAUCGUCAUUGUUAAGUUCAUGAACUGAAAGAACAGUCAAAUAAGUAAUUUGCAUUACCAAACAUAUAAUUGUAAAACAAAGGUAUAUUUGUUAAUUCCCCCCUCCCCUAACUAACUUGUAUAGAGCUGCAAAUUUCUUCCUCAACUUUAAUUUUUGACAAUUACCCUCCUGAAAUUCUCUAAUUAGCCAAUUUUCUCUUUGAAUUUUAAUGCCAAUUAGCCCAUGAACUUUUAUAAAUAGUCAAUUUCUCUAGAUUUUAAAAAAUUCUCAUCCAAUUUUUCAUCUAUUUUGAUCACGUGUAGAAGACGUGACAACUCUAUGAGAGCAAAAAGAAUGGAAAACUAACAACAACAACAACAACAAAAUUUUUUCCCACUAAGUGAGGUCGGCUAUAUAAAUCCUAGAACGUCAUUGCGCUGGGUUCUAUGUCAUGUACUCCAUUAGAUCCAAGUACUCUAAGUCUUUUCUUAGGUCUCUUCCAAAGUUUUCCUAGAUCUUCCUCUACCCCUCAGCUAGAUGAAUGAAAAUUUUAAAAUCUAACCCUAAGCGAAAUUGGCUAUUUAUAAAAUUAGAAAGGGCUAAAGUUAAAUUCAGAAAGAAAUUUGCUAAUUACAAAAGCUUAAGAAGUAAUCAGGAAUAAAUUUGAGGACAAUCCGACAAAUACCUCUAAAACAAAUAAUAUAAAAGGCAGAAAGCCAGCCAAACCAACCUCUACCGGCAUUGUUAACAAGGGCAUCGAUGAGCCCAAACGCGUCCCAAGCCUUGUUCACAGACUUCUCGAUAGCUGGGCCAUCGGCGCUGACAUCCAGCUCCACGGCCACAGCCCUCGGGCCUCCACCAGUCCCACUAUCAGCAACAGAAGAUGAUGAAGAAGGAGCGGUGAUGGAGAGCUGGUUGAUUUGAUCGCACACGGACUGAAGGCGGUCGAUGCGGCGAGCGGCGGCUACGAUUCUGCAGCCGGCUUUAGCUAAGUCUAAGCACAACUCGCGGCCGAGGCCAGAGGAAGCGCCGGUAACCAUGACGACUUUGCCGUGGAGGUGGCUCCAGGGCUCCAGGUUGUCCGACAAUCGAUGAGGAUUCUCCAUGUUUGAUAAUCUGUACUCAACUAUGAGCUAUGAAUUAUAUAGAACAAGGAAGAAGAGACUUACAUGUGAAUGUGUGAUACUGCGAAAUCUUGACCGUUGGUGGCUUCGAUAUGGACGGUCAUGAUUUGGGGUGAUAUAUUUGUAGUUGCUGGACGAAAGCAUGUUUGGUGAGGUAGUCGGCUUGACUUGACCCACUUCGAUUAUAGGAACGGAAAGAGAUGAUAUAUUUGCAGUUGCUGGACAAAAGCACGUUUGGUGGGGUAGUCGGCUUGACUUACCCACUUUGAUGAUAGAAACUGAAAGAGAUCCGUCCGGAUCUCUUUCGCCAAGCUUACCAGAUCAAGUGAUCCAAAAUUUUGAAUUUUCAUCUAAUAGUAAAAAAUUAUUAUAGUUUUUAAGGGAUCAAAAUAGGUGGAUCGUUGAGAAAAAUAAUAUUGGAUGAGAUUAUUCAAAACCCUAUAAUAUAGAAGUUGGCCUCAUCAUCUAGUCCUUCUUGUACGUCGGAUUAUAUUGUCAUUCCUUUUACGGGGCAAGAGAUUUGACAUUUAUGGAUUAAUCAACUACGCUUCUAAACUAGGUUGGACAAACACUCCGAAACCCAAAGCGUCGGAGUGUCGAACAUUCUGACACGCCGACGCGCCUCCAACACAAGUUGAACAUGGUCAAGACACUGGUCAAGGGGCAGGGGCAUUUUUAUAAAUUGAAAAAUAUUUUGAGUCAGUUUUGAAAACAUAAAAACAUUGAAAGAUUUGGGGCAAUUUGGAAAUACAAAAACUAAAGCCUAAAGCCAACCCGUCCUAACCCAACUUCAAUCUCUUAUAUGCGCCUCCUUUCACUUCUCUUCUUCCUCUCUUCGCAACCGAUGCAGCCUCUUCUCUACGGCCUCCACUCCAGUUGCAUUCUAUUUUAGUUGGUUGUUUAAUUUGUUAUUGAGCAUAAAUAUAUAUCUCUUCUUGUUUUUUUUUUUAAAGGGAACAAUUAGUGACAAGUCACGGUUAUACACGUCUUUCGGGAGCCGAAAAGACUCACAUAGUCAUUUCAGCUUCUUCUUGUUUUAAUUAUUAUACUUGUUUUGUUUUAAUUAUUAUACUUGUAUUGUUUUAAUUAUUAUGUUUUGUGUUAUUUUAGUUAUUAUGUAUAAUGAAUGAAUUUGAUAAACACGAUUAUUUUGUUAUAUUAUAAUCCACUAUUAUUUUUAAUAUAUGCAAUAUUUACUAUAAAUUUAGGGGUGUGAUAUCUACACAUCCCUUUUUACUUUUCCCACACAUUUUUUGUUUUCUGUCAUCGGAUGUGAUAAUUGAAGAAAAUCAACGGACAUAAAUUAAUAAGGAGUGUGUGAGAAGUAAAAAGGGGUGUGCCACACACCCCUAAAUUUAUUAUAUUUUAAACAAUGUGUCCAUGUCCUAUUUUUUAAGAUUUGCCAUGUUCCUGUCGCAGUGUCGUUGUAUCCGUGUCCAUAUCCGUGCAACCUUGUAAUAGUGUAGGAUAACUAUUUUGGAGUGGGAAAUGUUUUGCCACUUUAUCCCUUUCAAACUUAAACUUGAAUUUUAACCAUUGCUUGUUAUUGACUAACAUUUUGGGAAUUCCAACUGGAUCAUCAGCUUCUAGACUCUGUAAGCCUCCACCUCCCCAAAGGAAGAAAUGGCAAACAAGUGAGUUCGAGUAUGUAGUGCAGCUACAUCAACACUUGAGCACAACAAACGUUACAUAAGAUCAACCUUUCCACCGUACGUCAGCUACAUCAUGCCUGCCUCUUUUCUUUCUUCAAACAUUGAUUCAUCGUAUCCUUACUUCUUGUGGCCAGUCGACGGGAUUUGGAAAUAUAGCAUGCUUAGUUUGCGUCAAUUUCAAUAGAGAUUCAACACAAUCCAAUCCAUCAUGUUAAAUUCAGAUAAUUUGGACCCCAAAUAGAAUUAUAACUAAAGGAAAUCUGAAGGCAAAGGUAUAGCAGGUUGAUGAAUUGUAUAAGCUCAACUCAAUGUCGAGUGAGUAUUCAUUCACUUCUUUAUAUAGAGUUACAAAAGAUAAGGUUGUUACACUUGAUAAACAUUUGAAUCAGAAAAAUAAAUACAAACAGGUUGAAUCAGAUACAAACUGACACGCCCCGACCCUGAUAUUCCCCGAAUACCAGGACCGACACGUGCUGGCCGACACCCGGGGGUGACGAAAGCCAUUAAUUGAUACAAAAGCUAAGAAUAAGAAAUAAAUACAGGUUAUGAAUUUAAAAACAAUGAAUUAACAAUUUAGGAACGUGUUCAGAGCAUACAACUAAACCUAGUCACUAACAAGAAUUAAGAUAAGAUUAAAUGAACAAAGGAGUGGGUCCUACCCCGAGAGGACUCGAAGAUGCCGCUGCGGAAGUACCUUAAUGCCAGGAUUCUAUGCCUCGUUUCUAAGACCUGAAUGGGGGCGCAAAACAAGGGUGAGUGGACCAAGUUUAUAUACAUACAUAGUACGAAAACAGUUAUGAACAUACUAACCCCCACAGUUUAAUAAUGAAAACUACUAGAAUAAUAAGUGAUAAGCUUUUCAGAAACCUUUAGCAUGCCAUAAAACAAUUCAUAUAUCCAUCUGCAAAUCAAUCUCAGAAAAUCAUAUCAGAAAUUAUCUCAGCAAUCAUGUCAGGAAGCAUAACACAAGUUGUGCUGCUAGUGAGUGCACUGAAUAACAAUACUCCCGGCCCAAUGCCUGCACCUCAGUCUCUGUGCCCGUAGCCAGAGAUAUCUCCCUCCCGGCCCAAUGCCUGUCUCCGUGUCCCUCAGCCUUUCGCUAGGGAUUAUUUCUCCCGGCCCCAAUGCCAACACCAGAUCCUCGCCCCAGGCGGCAUAGUGUUCACUAGGUACGCACAAAACAUAAUUCAUCUCUAAAAUACAACUUCGUAGCAUAAAUUCAUCGAUCCUCUAUACUACGAAGAGGUGUUCGAAAGUCAUUUGAAACACAUUCUUAGCAUCCUAUCGUCAUCGAUCAGAUAGUCUACUAGAAUGAGGGUUCUAUAGAAAAUACAAUAUAAUGAAAAUAAUUCAAAACAUAUAUAUAAUCACGUAUAAUCAAAUCAUCAUGCUUCCUGUAAAGUAUUUCUCAAAUCAAUAAUUCUGCAAGGCAUGCUAUUAAAUUAUGCAUUUCUAUCAAUAAAACAUGCAAUUUUCGAAGGUGGUCCACUCACAGAUACUCCGAAGCAGCAGAAUUGUGUGCAAAAAGAUUAAGGAAGUCUCCACUAGCAACUUCACCUAAGCACGAAAAUGUACAAUUUAAUAAACUACCCAAAAGAUAGAAUUUUAGGAAAUGGAAAUGGGUUUUGGGUUUGGGUAGGUUAGGAACAAGAGGGAGUUUUAGGCUUAAGCCUAAACCCACCCUUAUACACACACGGCACACACACCACACAUUCACACACAUACCUACACCACACAUACUCCCAGAGCUGCACCGCACAACGCACACACUGUACACUUCAUAUAGUACACAAACAUACACAACACACACGUGCACCAUACACCAACAUGCCAAACACACCCACAGACAGCAUGCACAUAUAUAUAUAUAUAUAUAUAUAUACAAAUAUACACACAGAGGCAACAUGCAUAUAUAUAUAUAUAUAGAUACAUACAUAUAAACACACACGCAUGCACAGCAUGCAUAUAUAUAUAUAAGCACACACACGCACAGCAAGCAUACUUACACACACACACACACACGGUUCACGCACACACACUUGCACAACGUACACACUGCACAAACACACACUCACGAACUCGCCGGAGUUCGUCGUCGGAACCGGACAUGCAUGCACAAGGGAUGGUAAGAGUUAGGGCUUGAAUAAGGGGUUCUAAAACUUCACAAAUAUACCUAAGAACUCACCUGGACGCACUGCAGCAGGUUUUGGGAAGAGAUGGACCUCGAACUCGUCGGAGUUCGUCGUCGGAGCUAGAUUAUUAGCACAGAGAAAAACUGAGAUCAAAACCCUUGAGUUUUGUCAUAAACUCAUCAUGCACAACCCAGAAAUUUGAAGAAGGAACACAAUCCUCACCUGGGUUCGCGUGUUAGAGCUUUGAAGCUCUCGGCUUCAAUGGCAGAAAAGUCCACAGUGCUCUGAUGGCGCAUGCAAGGGUAUCGUUGAGUUCGUUAAGUCUCAAGGAUCCCAAAUAUAUGGUUUUGGGGUUUGAUUUGUGAGGGAAGUGAGGUGAAAGCUAGAGAGAAGCUCUCGGAGCUUAGAGAGUGUGAGAAAGAGAGAGAAGAAACCGAAAGAAAGAGAGCACUGAGAUUCUCAGAUGUGUUUCGGGCAGAGAUGAAAGGAAAGAGGGAUCUGAGAGCUGCCACAUGGCAGUUUAAGAUCAAUAGCCUUUCUAGAUCAAGGGUUAGGAUUAAAAGAGAAUAAGGGACUAAAUUGAUAGAUAACAAAUAUGUUCUAGGGGAAAAUAGAAAUAGAAUGAAAAAUGGGGGUGGGGUAUAACACAAACAUAUUUGAGAGAGUUGUGCGGAUAAUGGACUGUGUUGUUAUGAUCCUUUCUGUUGCAGAUUGCAGCGGGAAGGUUGUGGUUGAAUUGGUGGUGCUGACUUGGACCUUUCUUUAGGGUUUGGAGAUUUAUCUGAACUAGGUUUGUCAAUAACCACCUUUUAAAUUUGCUAUAAUUAUAACCAAAAAUUGAUAUAGAAGUUAACAUUAAGGGGGCGUUUGUUGUACCGGACUGUCUUAGACUGGACUAGCUUCAAGGACUAAGCUGGACUGGCUUAGACUAGACUAAGCUGGAUUAACUUAGUGAAGCGUUUGGUGCAGUGUCGGACUAAAAAACAGGAUAAUUAACAAAACUGAAAAAUUAUAUUAUUUUAAAGCAUAUCUAGAAUAUUUUAUAUUAAUUCUUCCUCUCUCUUUUUUUCUUCUAGAAACCCUUUUUCUAGAAUGCUCCAUCUUCUCUGCCUCACCACUCCCCCUUUUUUCUCCAUCCGUCUCAAUCCUCUCUGCCUAUUGAUUGUUUCCUUCAGCCAUCUAUUGCUUUCAUGGAAUCCCGUUUCCAAAAAAAUCAACCAAUGAAACACCUUUCAAAAUCCCAUCUCCUUUCAUGCAAUUCCCCAGUUCUUACUAAUUACCAUUCCAUUUUCUUUUGUUUUCUCUUUCAAUUUUCUAGCCAACCAAACACCUUUCAAAAUCCCUAAUUCCAAAUAAUUGCUCACCUUGUCUGGCGUACCAGAUUCAGAUUAUGGUCCACUGAAAACAAGAGUCAAAAAUUGAAUUCCCACAACAGAACGUGACUGGUGGGGAAAGAAUCAACGGAAGCAGGGUGGUUGGUAAGUGAAAAUUAAGGGUGUUUCUAGGAGAGAGCGAUGUAUGUAUGUGUGCGAUCUGAGAUACCAAAAGACCCAGAUCGUGGAAGACCCCAAAUCACCGAACCCAGAUGAAAAAAAUCCUUAUUUUCGAGGAUUGAGAUCUUGUAAGUUGGAAUGAUGCACAAGGUUUGGAUGAGGAAGAAGAUGAAAAUGGUUGUGGGAGCGAAGAAGAAGAAGCAGGGGCGAAACGAAAGAGGCUGAGCGGAGAUGGUCUUAGCGAGCCCCGUGGUUUGUGGAGGGUCUCGCUAAGAACUUCUAGUGAGGCUUCUAAUCCACGCGAGUCCCCUUUAGUCCCAUUUAACUUAGUCCCAAUACAAACCAAACAUAGGACUGUAGUCCAGUCUAGUCCAGUCCUAGUUAAUGAGGCCAAACAAACGCCCCCUAAAGGUCUUCUGCAAGAACCAACAAGCAAAAUUAAAACGAACAUCGGGUGUCUACAUCUUAGUGACACUUAUAAGCUUCUUGUUGUUAGUAAAGGAAGGCAUUUUUCUGGUGUGGUUGCAGAAAAAUGGAUUGGGAAGGACUCUUCGAAAGUUGGGGAAGAUUUGAAGGUCUUGCUGUCACAGUCUGCUACUCGAGGGCUUGAGCAAUCACCAAGCGCUUUGUAUGAGGGGUUGGAGGAAGAAAGAAAUGCUUCUACAAUCGCUUCAGAUCAAACAAUGGCCAUGAUUACAAAACUGCAAGAGAAGAAGGCAGUCCUGUUGUGCCUUGGCCCGUUCAUUAGUGCGGAAACGAGAUUCAGAUUACAACCACACCUAAAAUCACACCCAGUUAAACAGAAUAAAAUACAAGAAAUAAAGACAACGAGAAAUUUACGAGGUUCGGCAAAAACCUGCCUACGUCCUCAGAGAGAUAUUGCUCUUCACUAUGAGAAAAACAGUACAAGUUACACAUAAGUUAAAUCGACAUAACCCAAUCCCAUAUCCCUUGUACACCCACUCACAGAAUUUUCCCAAGAGCCUCACUCUACCCCAAGAGUUCUUUCACUAGAGACCUUUCACUCUAGCUCUCUUGAUUUUUCUCACCCGUGCCCAUACUUUCCCAUGGGAGAGCCGAAUGCUCUCCCCCUUGGAUGCUCUCUCAUGCCCUCUCAAGAGAGAGCCGAAUGCUCUCUCUCUCUCUCUCCUUCUCCACUUCGGCUCCUUGCAAUUAAAUGGACAGAAAAGUGAGUUAACUUCUCCUUUUUUUCAUAGACACAAUGAUGAUCCAUCAUGCUCCCUUUUCUCAAAACCCAAAACCACUUUCGGCAUGCAAAUGGGAAAUGAAUAAAAAAUGCCAAAACAAAAGGAAUCCCAUGAAACAUCAUCAUUGUCUUCCACUAUUAGCCAAAAUGAGAUAUGGACAUAUUUGGCCACUAUUCCGAAAGCAUAACACACAAAGUCACUUAAUUGUUAACAGCUCAAAAUAUGAGCCAAUCACAACAAUCUCCACCUUGGCGAAUACACCAUGCAAAAAUCCUUGCACCCAUCACCAAAGUCCAUUGGCCUUACGUACCAGCAUGCACACUCUGAAUCCACCUCAUUGGUCCUGUUCCGAUUCAGUCACUGCCAAUGCAUGUGAAGCUGCUGCAAGCUAAAAAUCACAAUUUAGCUUCAGACAGGAUCUCGACACAUCCUCGUCUCCUCCAACAGUUUUUUUUUCCCCUUCUUUAUUGUCUGCAACUUGGAAACUCGUCAGUGCACCCGUUUCCAGCAACAACCCAUCGAGCCAGACAAAAUUCCCCACACUUCUCUUCCUUCAGGACCAUCUCAUCACCUGUGAAUCCCUUAGCUCCACCUGCUGCAAAUCCCUUGCAACACUCGAGACUAAACAUCACCAAGAGAAGUGUUGCUUCGAGUACCUAGAGGGCAUACUCGAAGUCUUCCACCACAAACUUGCUACAACUCGGUCUAGCACCUGUAGCACUGUGGACCCUUGCCUCCGGAACCGGAUCUGAACCUGCUGUCUCUCUCAGAUCCUCUUUCCAAUUUUCUUCCACGAUUCCAACCUUUAAUAACUUAAGGAGUCUUGUGCCCACCAUUAUCCAUGGUCUCCUUUGUGUAUCAUUCCACACCAAAGAAGCUUGCACCUGCUCCAAACUUACUGUAACUUUCCAUGCAGUAAAGUUUCACAAGGUUAUAAGACAAAUCUGAAAGUGAGGUAAGAAGAAAGAGGCCUUUGUCUUCUUCCUCAACAUCAACUUUCGUAGUUGAUCUAAGCAUCCCUGAACACGGCUUCCAUUUCUUCAGGCUUCCAUUACUCUCCAUUACCAAGAGUAAAAUUGCCUCUCCCUUUAAACUGCUCAACUGAAAAUUCCAUGGUGAACAACAAAUCUGGACCUCCAACGAACCAAGCUUCCAACGAGCUCUGAUACCAAUUGUUGUGCCUUGGCCCGUUCAUUAGUGCGGAAACGAGAUUCAGAUUACAACCACACCUAAAAUCACACCCAGUUAAACAGAAUAAAAUACAAGAAAUAAAGACAACGAGAAAUUUACGAGGUUCGGCAAAAACCUGCCUACGUCCUCAGAGAGAUAUUGCUCUUCACUAUGAGAAAAACAGUACAAGUUACACAUAAGUUAAAUCGACAUAACCCAAUCCCAUAUCCCUUGUACACCCACUCACAGAAUUUUCCCAAGAGCCUCACUCUACCCCAAGAGUUCUUUCACUAGAGACCUUUCACUCUAGCUCUCUUGAUUUUUCUCACCCGUGCCCAUACUUUCCCAUGGGAGAGCCGAAUGCUCUCCCCCUUGGAUGCUCUCUCAUGCCCUCUCAAGAGAGAGCCGAAUGCUCUCUCUCUCUCUCUCCUUCUCCACUUCGGCUCCUUGCAAUUAAAUGGACAGAAAAGUGAGUUAACUUCUCCUUUUUUUCAUAGACACAAUGAUGAUCCAUCAUGCUCCCUUUUCUCAAAACCCAAAACCACUUUCGGCAUGCAAAUGGGAAAUGAAUAAAAAAUGCCAAAACAAAAGGAAUCCCAUGAAACAUCAUCAUUGUCUUCCACUAUUAGCCAAAAUGAGAUAUGGACAUAUUUGGCCACUAUUCCGAAAGCAUAACACACAAAGUCACUUAAUUGUUAACAGCUCAAAAUAUGAGCCAAUCACAACAAGUCCUCCAUAUGGAAGCACUCCAGCAACUAAGAAUGAUGGAAGAGCAAGCUGAGUACGAUAAUGAAGCGCUGCAAAAGACAGACAACUUCUUGUCGAGAAGGAGAAGGAAAUACAAGAUUUAGAAGCAGAGCAGAAGGCACUCCAUGCAUACUGAGAGUUUCUUGAACACACGAUUAACCCGAUUCUCAUUUCUCUUCAAUAUUUAGCAUACCCUAGACAGAAUUGCACCGUUACAGUUUGAAGUUUGCUUUCUAAGUAUUCUUCUCUCUAACAUUUGCUGAAAUUGGUAUUCUGUCAAGUUUUCUGUUUUGAUAUCAAUUGUGAAGAAUGAAAUUCCAAAACAUUUUAUCAUACUUGCUUAGGCUAUGUGUUCCUCAACAAGCAUGCAAGCCAAGCUAAGGUAAGCUACCAAUGUUAUGUGAGACCUACUUCAUACAAGACAACGAGAUGACAGCAAGAGGAGAAUGCACGAGAGAAAAACUUGAAACCGAAAACAACUUCAAAUGUUUUUCGAUUUUGAUUUCUAGUUCUCAUGCACUGUACCAUUUUGUCGUAUACAUUUCUUCCACCAUCCUUCCUCCACUCAUCUUCAUACUUCAUUUUUUAUUUUUGUCUUCAAGUAGGCAUUCUACGGCUAAUGUGUUGGAAAAAGUUAUGAAAAUUUGCUAUAUAUUUUAUUAUAAAUUAUUAAAUAAUACACAAUAAAAUCUCUAUAAAUGCAAGAAGAACAAGGAAUGGAAGAACCUUAAGAGAUUGAGGGUAGAAUUUGAUUCUAUAACCUUAAGACAAGAUUGCCCCUCAGUGGUGCCUCAAGGUUUGCGUUGGCAAAUGUCUCUCAGGAUACAAUGAUCUUUCUCUUUGCGGAAGUAGCACUCGAAUCCACAAAGAACAGCGAACCAAAAGUGUUUAAAACUCUCUCUUUGUUGAACACUAAACUACUCUAAUUUCUAUAUGAUUUCUGAAUGCAAAGCAUAUUUAAAAUGCUUGACUUGGUGGUCUAUUUAUAGGCUUUGGCAUGCCCCUUUUCCAAAGGUUGUAUCUGCUUCCAAAAGGCAAAGGACGCAACCCUUAUUCAAGAUUACAUCUGCAACCGAAACACAAGGGUUGCGUUUGAUUUCUCAUAAGACAAAGAUGCAACCUUUUCCAAAGUUGCAUCUGUUUUCAAACUGACAAAGGUUGUGACCUUUGUUCAAACAUGCAUAACCCUUGAAAACUGCCGGUCAAACCCAUCCAUGACUAUUUUAAUUUCCAUUUUAAUUUCCAUUCACUUGAACAUUAAAAUUUAAAUAUUAAUAAUACUAAUAUUUAAAUAUUAAAUUUCUAACAUAAUGAAGAAAAAACUGUAAACAGUAAACUAAAAAAUGCACAUAGAAACCUAAUAGUAAGCCAACAAAAAUGAAUUCAGCCGUACAUUCUAUUAUUCUUGAAUCUUCAACUUGCCAGGGGUGGUACAAUAUAUAUUUGUUGUACGUUUGUUUAUUUCUCUACUCUUUUUUGUUCCACAUGAAAAUAAAUCUACAUGAAAAUUCAGAGGGAAGAGAAAAUAGGAACACCCGGCAAGGAGGUUCCUGCAUCAACAAUAUAAAUGUUGCCAGAGACAUAUUCAGAAGAGUCAUGUACCAAAUAUCGAACUAGCGAUGUCAAUGCUGGAUCUGAAGUGCCAAAUGUUCUUAAAGGGACAAUUUUCAUAGCCACAUUGUGCAGCCAGUCUUUUUGCAUAAGACGCUCCGUAAUUUCCGAUCUGAAAAGUCCAAGUGAUAUUGCAUUCACUCUGAUUUUGUGUACCCCCAGCUCCAUAGCCAUAGUCUGGUUAACAUAACAAGAUUCAGUAUAGUACCAUAGAAGCUUUCACCUACACUACCAAGUGCAGAGAACUACAGAACAUAUUCCUUAGGAGAAUACUCAUAAUCAAAUAUAGAUAAUGACACUUAUAAGAGAAGAAGAGAAGAAGAAAAGAAUAAGCAAAGGUAGUGUCGGUGACAUGACAAAGUUGAGGAUAAAAUCUUAAAAUGGCAACUGAUAAACCAGCAGUUAAAAUGUAAAACUUCGUUUGAAGUUAGACCAUCAAUUCAUAUGUCAUUCCCAGAAAUCCUCCGGUGCAACAAAAAGCAAAAUGUGGUUGAGUGCGAUAACACGUUGGUCAAAACAGUCUGUUGGUUAUACGACAAUAGAGCCGCUCGGACCAUGAGCUUGUGAUAACCACAGCCUUGCGUCAACACACUUUAUUGACGGAUGAUAACAGCACAUGAAGAUGACAAGCAUUUUGGCAAUCAGACUUAGAACUAACGAACUAAAGAGACCAAGAAUCAAAACCGGCUUAUAAUGGGGGUGAUAGAAUUUGGGUCGACAAGCCAAGGACCCCACUCCAACAACACUGAUAUUGUCCCCAACUUGGUAAUUACCACUUGCCCAAUCCAUCAGGUGUGGGAUUUUAUCACAAAAGGUCUCAGUACUAGUUAGAGUAGGGUAAUCAUAUUUAAACUAUUUUCUUUCUUCUUUCCCUCACCUAUGUGGGAUAGCCAACAGGGGGCAUAAGAGAAAAUACACGGUAUAGCCCAUAGGCCCACUAGCAAUAUUCCUCCACUAGACUAAAAAAGAACUAAAAUACUCCUAGGCUGAUUUCGGUCCUAAGUCUAUUUUUCCCAGGAAACUGUUAUUGACACUCCAAAAAAGUCAUCUCGUACAAUUUAUGCCUUAUAUUUCCCAGGAGGCAGGCAUCCCUUCAAGUUCUUAUAUUUCAUUUAUAGACCAAAAGUAACAAAAACAUAAUUCCUUUUCCUUACGCAAUUAAUAUGAUUUUCCCGAUUAGCAUGUUAAAGAUAAUACCUUUGUUAAGGUGUUUACACCAGCCUUUGAACAAUUGUAUGCUGUAGCUCCAGGCGCAAAUCCACGAUU